AGAGCAGAAGAAUCGAGGUUCUGCGCAGCUUGUGAAACAGCCGGACGAACAGUAAAUACACACCGGGACGCUGCCCCUUCUUGGACCUCAAACUCUGCAAUUAAAAUUCGGGGUCUCUCCCCACCGCCUUCGAGGUCUGCUGCAGACCGUCGGCCUCAGCAGCUUUUGAAAGUGGCAAAGGUAAAAUAAUCCAGUAACGUGGUGGAGACAGAUGCAAUGAGAGUGGCCACGAGUUGACAGAUAAUGUUGGAAAAGUGGGGAAGACUUCGGGGAGCUUCAUAAGGCAUUUGCCUCCAUUCGUCUACACACACAAAAAUAUCCGUUCCAAAAGAAACCAGAAGGUCUGGCAACUCUCUACAUAUGUGACCAUCUCUUUUUUUGUGUGCCUUGGGAAGGACAGCUCUCUUCUAAGUGGCAGGCACUAUUGGAUCCCAUCCAAGAUAUUACAUCACAUUUAUUU